CCUACGGGAGGCAGCAGUGGGGAAUAUUGGACAAUGGGCGAAAGCCUGAUCCAGCCAUGCCGCGUGUGUGAAGAAGGCCUUCGGGUUGUAAAGCACUUUCAGUGGGGAAGAAAGCCUUGGGGCUAAUACCCUCGAGGAAGGACAUCACUCACAGAAGAAGCACCGGCUAACUCCGUGCCAGCAGCCGCGGUAAUACGGAGGGUGCGAGCGUUAAUCGGAAUUACUGGGCGUAAAGCGCGCGUAGGCGGUCUGAUAAGCCGGUUGUGAAAGCCCCGGGCUCAACCUGGGAACGGCAUCCGGAACUGUCAGGCUAGAGUGCAGGAGAGGAAGGUAGAAUUCCCGGUGUAGCGGUGAAAUGCGUAGAGAUCGGGAGGAAUACCAGUGGCGAAGGCGGCCUUCUGGACUGACACUGACGCUGAGGUGCGAAAGCGUGGGUAGCAAACAGGAUUAGAUACCCGAGUAGUC
rnacentral:rRNA from 1 species